rnacentral:lncRNA from 1 species
AAAGCAUAAAAUUUCUUUACAGUGACACGUGGGCCCACAUCUAACCAAAAUGCAUCGGAAGUUGGAAACCUACAGUUUUUACCGAUGCGAGUUCAAAUGAAAGUCCUUGUCAAAGUCAGCUAACUAUGAAAUUCUCCGAGCCUGAAAUGUGAGGAAAUGAGGGUGGUGAGAUUAUAAAAUCUCAGUGAGUAAACAGAUACCAUCUAAACUAUCUAAAGUCGAGUAAAUGGAGACAAUUAAAAUAAAUCAUCAUACUGUAAUUUCAUUACCUUUCAACUCAUUUCAACCAAAUAAAAUCAAUCCAUAAAAAACGAGUAAUCAACUUGGCUUAUGAAUUUCUUAAAACUUUGGCUCGUGCCAAAACUCAUACUCGGUGAUACCUUGCGCAGGGCAUCCAACCAAGUCUGCCAAGGCUGUUAAAAAUUUGUAUACACUUAAAAUAUAUUUUUAGUUUGAGAAAAAUACAGCCGUUCCUUGACGUUGGCUGAGUUCCCCUUCACGUGGUGGUUUGGCAUGAAGUGAACCCUAAGCUUUACCCC